rnacentral:rRNA from 1 species
AUUGAACGCUGGCGGCAGGCCUAACACAUGCAAGUCGAACGGUAACAGGAAGAAGCUUGCUUCUUUGCUGACGAGUGGCGGGCGGGUGAGUAAUGUCUGGGAAACUGCCUGAUGGAGGGGGAUAACUACUGGAAACGGUAGCUAAUACCGCAUAACGUCGCAAGACCAAAGAGGGGGACCUUCGGGCCUCUUGCCAUCGGAUGUGCCCAGAUGGGAUUCGCUAGUAGGUGGGGUAACGGCUCACCUAGGCGACGAUCCCUAGCUGGUCUGAGAGGAUGACCGGCCACACUGGAACUGAGACACGGUCCAGACUCCUACGGGAGGCAGCAGUGGGGAAUAUUGCGCAAUGGGCGCAAGCCUGAUGCAGCCAUGCCGCGUGUAUGAAGAAGGCCUUCGGGUUGUAAAGUACUUUCAGCGGGGAGGAAGGGAGUAAAGUUAAUACCUUUGCUCAUUGACGGUACCCGCAGAAGAAGCACCGGCUAACUCCGUG